UACGAGGGGCGCGAGCGUUGUUCGGAAUCACUGGGCGUAAAGCGCGCGUAGGCGGUUUUGUAAGUCAGACGUGAAAGCCUAGGGCUCAACCUUAGAAUUGCUUUUGAGACUGCAAAGCUAGAGUAUUGGAGAGGUUAGUGGAAUUCCGAGUGUAGAGGUGAAAUUCGCAGAUAUUCGGAGGAACACCAGUGGCGAAGGCGACUAACUGGACAAUUACUGACGCUGAGGCACGAAAGCGUGGGGAUCAAACAGG
rnacentral:rRNA from 1 species